UUCGGGCUUCGACCGGCGUACGGGUGCGUAACGCGUAUACAAUCUGCCUUUCACAUAGGGAUAGCCCGAAGAAAUUUGGAUUAAUACCUAAUGGUAUAUAGGAGUGGCAUCACAUUUAUAUUAAAGCUGAGGCGGUGAAAGAUGAGUAUGCGUUCUAUUAGCUAGUUGGAGAGGUAACGGCUCCCCAAGGCGACGAUAGAUAGGGGUUCUGAGAGGGAUAUCCCCCACACUGGUACUGAGAUACGGACCAGACUCCUACGGGAGGCAGCAGUGAGGAAUAUUGGACAAUGGUCGGAAGACUGAUCCAGCCAUGCCGCGUGCAGGAAGACGGCCUUAUGGGUUGUAAACUGCUUUUGCAGGGGAAGAAUAAGGAGUACGUGUACUUUGAUGACGGUACUCUGCGAAUAAGCAUCGGCUAACUCCGUGCCAGCAGCCGCGGUAAUACGGAGGAUGCGAGCGUUAUCCGGAAUCAUUGGGUUUAAAGGGUCCGUAGGCGGGCUAAUAAGUCAGAGGUGAAAGCGCUCAGCUCAACUGAGCAACUGCCUUUGAAACUGUUAGUCUUGAAUGGUUGUGAAGUAGUUGGAAUGUGUAGUGUAGCGGUGAAAUGCUUAGAUAUUACACAGAACACCGAUAGCGAAGGCAUAUUACUAACAAUUAAUUGACGCUGAUGGACGAAAGCGUGGGGAGCGAACAGGAUUAGAUACCCUGGUAGUCCACGCUGUAAACGAUGGAUACUAGCUGUUUGGUUGUUAAGACUGAGUGG
rnacentral:rRNA from 1 species